AUGGAAACCCUUUAAAAUUUCAAACAAAUUUAUUUUAAUAUGGGGUAGGACCGUGUUUGCCAGUAAUUACAGCUCAAAUUCUACGAGGUAUGCACUUGUAGAAAGUUUGAAUUGUUUCCAAAGGAAUUUUUGUCCAUUCUUCAGCUAAAACAGUCUCCAGUUCUUGUAGUGAUGAUGGUGGAGGAUAUCGACUCCUUAUUUGUUUUUGUAAAAUG